GGCUUAACAGUAACAGGGUCCUGAGACAAGGAGAAUUUAGUUUCUUUAGCUAGGCUCCUCUGACCUCCAAUGACUUUCAAAAUUA